GUGGUGGCCUUUUGCGCCGGGCUUUUGGUCUCUCACCCGGUGCUGACGCAGGGCCAGGAGGCCGGGGGGCGGCCAGGGGCCGACUGUGAAGUAUGUAAAGAAUUCUUGAACCGAUUCUACAAGUCACUGAUAGACAGAGGAGUUAACUUUUCGCUGGACACUAUAGAGAAAGAAUUGAUCAGUUUUUGCUUGGACACCAAAGGAAAAGAAAACCGCCUGAAAAAACACUGGACUUGGCAUCAGUUGACCUGCGGAAGAUGAGAGUGGCAGAGCUGAAGCAGAUCCUGCAUAGCUGGGGGGAGGAGUGCAGGGCCUGUGCAGAAAAAACUGACUAUGUGAAUCUCAUUCAAGAGCUGGCCCCCAAGUAUGCAGCGACACACCCCAAAACAGAGCUCUGAUCUCCAAUGCCAGCACAUUUGUGACUUGUAAUUAGAGAGAAAAGUGACUCUCUAGGAUAUGGACAUGUUGAUUAAGGAUAACUGGGAAUGCAUCAUAUUUGGUCUCAUGCUUUUUGUGUUGGUAUUAUUCCUCAGAAUUUUGUUACGUGGGUUUAUGAGUGAAACUAAUACUACUGAUAACUUACAUUUGCAGUGUACCAAAAGCUAAAAGUUCCUUUCUCAUAAGUUUCUUGGAAUGACUAUGCCAGUUUUCAUUGCCUGUCUCCUAAAAGUGACCUACUGACAAAUUGAUGGAGUAAAUUGAUUCCAAGAAAGAAGAAGGCAUUCAGAGACUCCUCUCUGGAUGCAAUUUUAAAAUAUAUUGGACUAAAACAAAAGACACAACAGUCAGCUUAUCUAAUGCACAACUUCAAUCCCAAAUACAGAAUCAAAAGUUUUUUUCAAGUGAAUUUUCUGUUUUCACUCUAUAUUGUAGCUCUCUUUGGUAUCAGAAAUGGUCAGGCAGGAGUACUCGUUUUUCCCAUUGGAAGAAAACCCACUUAAACCUACUUAAAGAAAAUAGAGAGAUCAAGAAACCGUAUAAGUAUAGCCAAUGUUUGGCAAUUAUAUCAACAUUUACAUUGUUAAUUGAACCAAGCUCAAGGUCUUUUUCAUUCCUUACAGUCACAUAUCAGACAAGUUUUUGAUGGAAGAUUAAAGCAUAUUAAAAACACUCAUAGGCAACUUGGAACUUUACCAUUGUUAAUGCUAUUUUAUCAGCUUUCGGUUGUAAAAUCAUCUUUGGUUCCAUUUUCUGGCCACAUAAGAAUAAGAAACCCACAGUAGAAGUGUCCGCCUCUGUGUGGCAGGUACAGCUGGGGAAUACUGAAAAAACAUUUCCUUGGAACUUUCUGGAGUGAUGGGAAUGUCCUAUAUCUUGAUUGACAUGGGGAUUACAUGGGUUAAUAACAUUGUCAUCUGGUAGGAUAAUUAAGAUCUGGGCAUUUUAUUGUAUGUACAUAAUAUCUUUAAAAACUGCUGUAGAAAAAUUAUUUGGAAAUUAACUAAAAUUAAUUAAUUCAACACACCUUGUUUGCUAGGCACAGUGGCUCACACCUGUAAUCCCAGCACUUCAAGAGGCUGAGGCGGGAGGAUUGCCUGAGUCUAGGAGUUAGAGAUCAGCCUGAGCAACAGAGUGAGGUUCCGUCUCCACCAAAAAUUUUAAAAUUAGCUGCGCAUGAUAGUGUGUACCUGUAGUCCCAGCUACUCGGGAGGCUGAGGUGGGAGGACUGCUUGAG
rnacentral:lncRNA from 1 species